UACAGAGGUCUCAAGCGUUGUUCGGAUUCAUUGGGCGUAAAGGGUGCGUAGGCGGCGCGGUAAGUCGGGUGUGAAAUCUCGGGGCUUAACUCCGAAACUGCAUUCGAUACUGCCGUGCUUGAGGACUGGAAAGGAGACUGGAAUUUACGGUGUAGCGGUGAAAUGCGUAGAUAUCGGAAGGAACAUCAGUGGCGAAAGCGACUUCCUGGACCAGUACCGACGUUCAGGCACGAAAGCGUGGGGAGCAAACAGG
rnacentral:rRNA from 1 species